GUUCUACGGGAGGCAGCAGUGGGGAAUAUUGCACAAUGGGCGAAAGCCUGAUGCAGCAACGCCGCGUGAAGGAAGACGGUUUUCGGAUUGUAAACUUCUGUUCUUAGUGAAGAAUAAUGACGGUAGCUAAGGAGCAAGCCACGGCUAACUACGUGCCAGCAGCCGCGGUAAUACGUAGGUGGCAAGCGUUGGCCGGAAUUACUGGGUGUAAAGGGAGCGAAGGCGGGAAGCCAAUGCAGCUGUGAAAACUACGGG
rnacentral:rRNA from 1 species